CUUUUCUAAAAAUCCUGGGACCUUUUUAAUUUCAGGAAGUUCAAAACUCCAUAUAUACUGUAAUAUCAGCAACAGAUUUCCAUAGACGACCAUGAAAGGAGAGCUGAUCAUGGCAUAUUUUCUUCUGUUGCGAAUCAUCCAAAGGGUGCAUGACCAAAUCAACAACACAAAAGUCAACCAGCUGUGAUAGGUGAUGCUCCAAGCCUUGAGGGUGAAAGGAAGAGGAAACACAAUGAUGGUCACUACAAUGUAUAGUCCCCCGCUCUGCACAGAGCCUGCCACAGGGUUCAAACCCACGGACCGUGAGGUUGGGUGCCCAACCAACUGAGCCACCCAGGCACCCCUGAGCCAUCUUUCAUUUCAAGGAGCUUUCUUUCUGCCACCCCUCUCUCAGAUGUACAGCUGUCCUUACUAGAAGCUGAAGUUGAUUGGACACACAGGUGUUCAUGGGAUCUCACCAUUGACCACAAAAUGUAGAAGAGUCUUGUGUUAGG